rnacentral:rRNA from 1 species
UACGUAGGGUGCGAGCGUUGUCCGGAAUUAUUGGGCGUAAAGGGCUCGUAGGCGGUUUGUCGCGUCGGGGGUGAAAACUCAGGGCUUAACCCUGAGCCUGCUUCCGAUACGGGCAGGCUAGAGGUAUGCAGGGGAGAACGGAAUUCCUGGUGUAGCGGUGAAAUGCGCAGAUAUCAGGAGGAACACCGGUGGCGAAGGCGGUUCUCUGGGCAUUACCUGACGCUGAGGAGCGAAAGUGUGGGGAGCGAACAGG